AAUAUUGGAAAGAAAUAUUUUCUCUUUCUUGAAGCGUUGUAUCCUGCACAUUUCAUUGUUUUUCUCCAUAAAGCAGCUGUACUUUUGCUCUUGAAUUGCUAUGUAUAUUUAUUUUUUUACAACAAUGUAUAUUGGUUAAAGAUUGUCUUCACUUUCCUUUGCUGCACCCAAAUUGCUGCUUAAUUGCCCUAGCUUCACAAGAUUUGAUCUUUCUUCUCUUUCCCCCCCAUUUUGGUGUUGAAACUUUGCCCCAAAAAGUCAUCCAUCUUCUUUGCUAAUUUUAAGGUCAUGGUGCUGAAUCAGAGUAAUUUCUGGUAUUAAAAUGCUUAGUUAUAACAGGGGACCUUAAUUUGGUAUGUAAGAUUUGAAGAAGAAAGAUGAGUUCAACCAUGCAGGGGUUGCUAUUGAAGAGAAAUACAAAUGACAUUUACCUGAGAAAAUUACUAAAUGAGGAGUAUGCAUAAGAGCAAUUUCAAGUUUAUCACCCUUCUAGCAUUGAUGUAAGUUGUUCUACUUGGAGUAAGUCAUUAGGUGCUAUCAGCAAGAAGCUAAUGAAUUUUUAAAUUUCCCAACUACCAUAAAAAAAAAAGCAAAAUCUUUCAGCUCUGGCAAUUUUGAGGCAUAUUUCAGAUCCUACAUUAACUACAUGUAAAAAAAGUACUACUCACUUAGCCUUGAAAUGAUAUGUAUUAUUGAUCAUGUUUUAUUUUUUUUGUACCCAGUAAUCAAGACUAUCAGUAAAUUAGAUGAAAUGAGAAAAAUAAGCUACAACAUGCUUUUAUCUGGCAAGAGACGCUCAAGUUAUUAAUGUUAGAGGAAAGAUUAAUGGCAGAGUGAAUCUGAGUCCAUAUACUCCAUCCCUCUGUAUCAUCAUCUUUGGUUUACCUAAAAGUGUUCAUUAUAGUUUUAUUAGAUUUAGAAAUUACAAUGUCCAAGUGCGGUAAUUUAUAUAGCACCAAGUGCUGACGAUUUUACUUGGUAAAACAAAGUACAAACUAAAGUUCUAAUCUUUAGCAGGACAAAGAAAAAUAUGUCCAUGAUAUCUUAAGAUUGCUUUCUAUUAAGAGUAGCCAAAGAGUAAAAGAAAAAAUAUGCCCAUGAUAUCAUAAGAUUGCUUUCUAUUAAGUAGCCAAAGAGUUGAUCCAAUUUUAUUUCCCUUUUUUUUGACCUAUUUUGGUCAAUAUAAACGUAAGUUCAAAGAUAAAUUCUCAUUCAUCUUUUUUCUUUCUAUUAAGAGUAGUCAAAGGUUCUUUUGGAUUAGUUAGAACAUGUAUGGCAAGUACAAUGAAAGUUAAAUGAUAAAAGAACUACUUUCUUCUAUCUAGAUCUUAUGAUAUUAUCAUGGGGAUAUAAAUUUUUAAUCUGCAGAAAUUGUGAAGAUCUUUCUUGACCAAUCCCUUUGACACUCAUUCUUCAAGGAAUAAGGAAGAGUAUUUUUAAGUUUGAAUUUGUUCAUUUAGAAUCUAAUUUCUUCUGCUUCAUAUUAAUUUAAUAUGAAUAUCAUCCCUCUCUUUUUUGUUGAUACAUUUAACAUAAACUUGCCCCACUAUUUCUGGUGUGUGGCCUUUUCAGUAAUUUGCAGGAAUAACAGAUUACAUUUUCUGGGCACUGAAUAGACAGGUUCUCAUAUGAAGUGAAAGGAUUCUUAGCUUUUGAUUUGUGAUGAACAUAAAUGAAAUAGGACUUCAUAUGUGGUAUUGAGGUUUUCUAUUUCUCUCAACUUUACCUGAAGUUUGCCUUGCAAAGUUUUCUCUAACUUUUGCCUAAUUAUGCCCUCAUUUUCAUUCUCGGGCUAAUUAAAAUUUCAUUUAUCAAAAACUAUCGUAAUUGAUUCAUCUUCAUCUAUUUCGAUUUAGUAAAUUAGUGAUCUACCAACAAAGGUGUUUGUAUGUUGUUAAUGAAAACACAUACUGCCUUUUCUAUUCUCUUCAAGUCUUUUUCCUAUCAUCUUCUUCCUCUACUUUUUUCAGCUACAUCUAUCUCACUCAACUUCUAUUUCUCCUUUUCAGAUUUUUACUUCUUAACCUCUUUAUAGGUUGUGAGUUUCCAAUUUUGAGUUCAUUUCAAACGAACACAGGGUGUUCUUUUUAAAUUUAGGUGCCAUAAUCCCUCAAUGUCUUCUCAUAUGUGUCUUUGCGUUUUUGUGAUGUUUGAGUUUUAACUGUAAGAGUGGUUUAAGGAAAUAUGGAUUAUAUAAGAGGAGAAAAUAGAGUUGCAGCUAACGGUUCAUCUCUGGCACAGAUUCAUUUCACAAGCUGUCCCUUUUUGUUAAAAUUAACUUGUGACCUAGACUAAUUCCUUUGAUUUUGCUAAAUCUAAACAGGAAACAACAUUUUACAACUACUAUCUUGCUUUGGUGAUGAUGAGGGACAACCCCAGAAAAUUAUGCUAUUGACGUCCCAUUAUUUGAAUGAGCAAACCUAGCCAAAAUUGUGGACGAUGAAAUUCAAUUUGAGGCCAUGCUCCUUUGAAAUAUCCCUCGGUUAGGGCCAUUUGACAAAAGGUGAUAAAAAAGGUAUCUAAAUAGUGAUAAGGCAAAAAAACUCACGCAUGCACAUGUAUCUUGGCGAGGUAACCAGAAUGGCUGAUGAGCCACUUAGCUAGCUUGCAGCCAUGGCAUGCCAGAUUUUCUUUCGUUCGAAAAUCAAUUACAUAUCGCUCACUUGAUGGACCGAUUUCAGAAAAUGCUCUCGAGAAUGUCCGUUUCCUUUUGUAUAUAAUUCAGCUAUACUUGCAAAUGCAAUGUCUCAGAGGUACUAUCUGUUACAUCUUUAUGGAACAAUUUUUUGGAAGGUUACCUAUCCUAUAACUCCAUAUAUAUAGAAGCUUUGUUUGCUUCACCAAGGAUCUGAUCUCCAUGAAGAAGUAGCUUGUUAGAGUAUCGGGUCAGGUAGUUCGAUUGAAACAAAGGUUCAUUUCAUUGGAUCUUCAUUUGCCUACAAACUUAUUUGUCAAUAUGUUUUAUUCUCAUUUGCCUAUAACAUUACUGAGCAUUCUUUACUGAAUUUUAAGAAAAUAUUAAAUGAGAAGAAUGGUGUCUAUGCUUUCGGCACUACUCCUAAAAGAACUGAUAGAUAUUUAAAGAUUAUGCAUUAGUUCAAUGAAAAAUAUUAAUAUCUAUAGAUAUGACAAGUGUGAUGGUAGCAAGAUUAUUCUCUUUUUGAUGGUAUGGUUUUUAGGCACUGCUUUGGAGUAUAUAUAUGGUUCACAAAAAUCAGUUUGGUGAAUAUCGUAACUUUUCAUGUUGUCUUUUCUACAGGGCAACAACAUCUGCUGUACAAACUAAUUCCAAAGGAUCUAUUUCAUUGAUACUGAACACAUGUAUCUACUUUUUUAGCAAAUCACGUGUAUGUCAUCUUAUACACCAAGCCAUGCCAUUUGAGUCUUCAUACUGCUAAAAAGAAAUAAAAAAUCACCAAACAAAUUGUCAUCUUUUCUCUUCAGGUGAGUUCUCAACCUUCUCUUCUUUACUUUUUUUUCAUUCUCUUCUUCUAACCUAAUCUCCUUCAGUGAAAGAUCUUUCAGAAGGUUGGUGCGUGGAUCGAGCAUUUUCAGUGUUCUUGCUUCAGAUAGCUAGGUGGCUAACAUGCCUUUCAUCAUUCCCGCACAGUGUUCUUACUUAAAAUAGCUAAGUAGUCAUCUACAAUGUCAGUUGCAAGAAGCCACUAGGCACUAUCUGUGACCUAUUUGCGGACCAACUUUUAGGAAUGUUAUACCUAUCCCUACUUCAUAUCUCUAUUGAGAUAUGUGUAAUAGUUGAAUUGAUCUAUCUGAUAAGUACCUUGACAAGAAUUAUUUUCUCCAUUGUCAUUGAUGCUAUUUUCUCCUUAUUUAUUUAUCCUCGGAUUACAACACAAGCAAAUCACUGUUGGAUCCGUGCUCAGCACGGGCCUUGCCCUUCUAGUAUAGAUAGAAGAGAGAGUUUCAGAAAAUUUCAACAUGUCUGUUUGUUGGUCAUUCAAUUGGCAAAUAGGGACAAAAAUUCUAGCUUCUCAUUUCAAAGUGAUAAGGUAAACAGGAUAUUAUUGUCGUUUCACCUUCUCAAAGGCUGCAUUCUAUGUAUACGUGUCUUCCUCUCUAUACAUUCAUCAAACACGCAGUCUUCUUCAAUUCAGCUAUAAUCUUGAACGCUUUGGGGGUCAUCUCCAUUUUCUUUUCUCUGCCUUUUGUUUCUACUUUUGCUUUAGGUUUUUUACUUCAUUCUUGGUUCCUUCUAUAUUAUACAAAAGGGUAAACUGUUGUACUGUAUAUAGAUAGAGGAAGACCUUGCCGUUCUGCUGAAGCUGCUCUGUUUAUACUGCUGUUACCAGGUCUGCAAUUUCAGUUGUCGUUUUCCCCUUUUUCCCAAUUAGAUUUUCAUAUUUCUUUCUGCUAAAAUUGGAUUGGGUUAUAAAUUUCGUGUGGUUAACUUAUGUGCUAUAUCGAAUUAUGUUUUUGGGAUUUCAAGUUUGUUUGAUUUUAUUUGGGGCCUGCUAAUUUUGGAUCUUCAAAGCUCUUGAAAUUAUAGCUGAAUCAGACUUUAGGGUUUUCGCUCUGCAUGCGUUGCGGUGAGAUAAUAGCUUUUCCGUUUUGGUUGAUUAAGCUGGAUGAAGCUUAUGUGUUAGCGUAUGCUUUCUGUUUGGGUGUUAGUAUUGAAUGUUAUGUUUGUGUCUGAAUUGUUGAUGGGCUUUGGAGAAUUGAUGUUAUCCUCUUUGAUCUUGGCAUUUUGUAACUUUUUUCCCCGUUAAAGUUAGUUAAUAAGUUUCUAUAAUUGCCAGGCUUGAUUUAUUUAAUGAAGAAAAAGCUCUAAUCUUUGUUGAUGAACUACUCCUUUUAAAACAACAAAAACAGCAGCCCACCUACUGCAGUCCCGCAAAGUGGGGUUUGGGGAGGGUAGAGUGUACGCAUAUCUUAAAUAAAGUCUUUGAUCACCUGAAGAUGGCACAGAAAGACAAAAAGAGAAUAUAGUUUUGUGGAGGUGCGACAGAAUGGGAAUAUUAAAGUGUUUCUACUGCAAAAUUCAGGAAAUAGCAAUAGUAGGUUAGAUCACAUUGUUUGUGCUUUCGAGGUUGUUCCGAAUCUGCCAAUUUAUUAUUUGGUUGUUGCCUCAUCUGUCCAUCUGAGAUACGCAUUUAGGAGAUUGCUAGGUUUUUCAGAUUAAGGGAAAAAUGAUAUUGCUUAUGUUAAUGAAUAUCAAAGGACCUAUUGCAUGAAGGCGUCAACAAUUUGCUGCACGUUUGUUAUGUAUCUCUUGGUAACUGAAGGGACUGUAAGAACUACCCCAUCCAUAUACUUGGAUAAAUACUUCACACACCACUGCUGGUUGAUAUCUCCUUGGCAAUUAGUUUUAUUCACUUGAGAGUCAUCACAUAACUUUGGUUAUUCCAAACAUGGACAAAUGUAUGUUAGCAAUUUCAGUCACACAGGGGGUAAGGUGUGUGGGAGAUAAAGUUCCAUUCCUCAUUUCAUAUUGAUACAUGAGGCUUACGUUAAAGAAAUGGACCUUAGGACUAACUCAAUACCAAAUUAGCUCAUGAGGUGACUUAUGAGUAUAUCCCAAGACCAAAUAGGUAGACAAACAACUCAUCCCUCAACCCAACGUGGGGAAUCAAGCGAAAUCAUAAAAGCCUAAGUCCAUGUUGCUUGUGUGUGGCCUUCUUAAUUCAGCUUAAUGGCUUUAAUAGAGGGAUCAACAUAGCUUCAGGUGAAAUUGCCUUUGCAACUACAUAAAUGGGAUAAAUGAUCAAUUAUUUAAUGGCUCUUCCAUAUUUCUUGAUUUACUUAGCUUCCCUAGGCAUCUCGGUGGCUCUGUUUUGUCUUUCUAUAGUCCAAUUAUUACUGACCCUAAUCUACAUGCCAAUUGAAGGAAGAGAAGAAAUUUCACCAAAUUGAAGAAACAAGCAAUUUGCCUAGCCCAGGUAAUUUCCUUUAAGCUAUCUUUAAAAUAUCAAGAGAACUUUGUAUGCUUUAUGUACCUCUGCAGAAGUUACGAGGAGAGCAUUAAAUCACUCAACAUCAUCCUUCUCCUCCGAGCAAGCAGAGUGAUCCAGGAUUUGAGGUUCUACGGGUUCAUACAUAAACCUCAAGUUAGUAUAUAAUAAUAAAUGGGUUCACGGUCAAAUAUAUAUAGUGAAUUGCUUAAUAAAUAUACAGGUCUGAGCAAAGCAAGAACUGGUUCAUCAAUGACGGUUGUAAUCUACAAUUACAUGGAAUUAGAACUGAAGAGAAAUACCAAAUGGCAAUUGAUGUACAUGUUAAAUCACUGAAUAUAGAGGUUGAAUCAUAUUUGGAAGUUGAAUCUCACAUAACGCUUAAUAUUGUAGGUGUCCACGGAUACUAGCUAAGAUUUAAGGGGCUCCCAAUUAGUAAAACACAUAGAAAUCUGAUCUAACUUCAGCCUGGAAAUUAGCCAGGGAAAUCUGAUAGAAGAGUAAUUCUGCAUCUGCACCUACUCAAUGCUACAUAACUGAUCACAUCCACGUAAAAAUAAUAUGGGCCUGGAUUUCCCAGCUGCUUGGAAUGAACAAAUAAGGCAUGUUUUGGUUGAAUUUGUAGACCGACACAAUCCAGUAACGAUGGAAAUUGAAGCCGUCAUUCCGUCGGAGCAUCGACAACUUCUACACACUAUAAAUGUGUCUGAGGUCACUGAUCAGCAUGCUCUCCACAGCAGCCCUAAUCAACUACAGGUGGUCUUGGUCAUGCAAGAAGAUGAGGAUGUUGAGAUGACUGUUAUCAACAAUGAUGAUAUUAUUCCUCUCCAUAACUCAAAUGAAUUGGACAAAUAGAUAGUUGAUCAUGAAGAAGAUGACCUCUGGCAUGUAGACCCAUUGCUGACUCAUAUUCAGAAAUUCUGAUAUAGAGGCAUCAUUGUGGGUACAUAAAAAUGUACUGGAUUGAACAUACUGUAAAUAGUUUUUGAAAUUAUGAUUAUUUGUAAGUAACUAUCGCUAUUUAGGACUCAAGUUAUCUUAAAGAAUGAUUUCUUUCUGUAAUAGAGGAUAACCAGAUCAAAUUAUAAAUCAUAUUGGGCUCGUGCUCCGCACGGACAAUACUUAUCUAGUA